GGUUGUGUAUCAUUCGAGAUUU
rnacentral:miRNA from 1 species